AAAUCUGCAGUGUGGGUUAAAUCCCUAGGUGCUCUCCCGUAUCAAAUCUAGCCUGGCACUUCUUCCCCUACCUCCCUGCUGCUCCACCUCCGGCCGCCGCCGCGGCCAGGCCAGCAUGGCGGCGUGCCACCGAACCUGCUGCUGCCCUUCCUGCACUCCACCGGACAGCAGGCUGUGCCCUUCGUCGUCAACAACGUCUACAACUUCUCCACGCACGAUCUGCAGCAACUGAAGAACCAGCAGCCUCCGACGAGCUCGAUGACCACCUGCAGCUUCUUCCCCUUCUCCAACUCCUGCUGCACCUUCACCGUGGGUUAAUCCCCAUCCAAUUAUCUCUUUUAUCCCUAUUGCUUUCUGUUUGUGUGAACUGAAAUUGAGAGAUGUUGAACUUGUUUCCUACCGCCAAGUGUUUGAUGUAAUUCUCACAUGGAUGUGCUACGAAUUUCACUCUGUCCCUGUCUUCUUAUCUGCUAAUCUUAUCUAAUUAUUGACUUGUGCUGGAUUUGUGUGAGCUAUUGCAUCAUAGCUUGUAAUAAUUUCAUACUAGCGUUGUUCUUGUUUUAGCCCAAUAAACUGUGUUUUUAUGUGUAUGUGUUUGUAGCCAAUUCUUUCCCUUUCCCAAACAACUUGCUUCUAUCCCUUUCUUACAUGUUUGCUUGUGAUUAAUUUUUGUGCCUAAUAGUAAUUUCUGUCCGGUAUUGCUUGAUUAAAGAAAAUCACAAAAAAUAUUGUUUACUGCUAGAUUGUUGCUUUCUUUUAGAUUGAAUAUUAACCCUUGUGUUUGAUCGACCUAGAUUUAGUUGAAGCUCCAAUAGUGCCAACAAUUUGCCUCCUAAUUCUCCGACGAUCUGUUUGUUUCCUCUUUCUUGUUACUGGACAAGUAAAAUUCAUAGUAGAUGCGGCGGUUUCUCCGUUGUGUCUCAUCCUGUGUCAGAUAUGGAGGCGUUGAAGACGACCCAGCAAGCUCCCUCGCCCUCGUUCUGCUCCUUCAUGCCAGAUCUUCGCGGCAUCAACUGCUUGGAUCUGUUUGUGGGUGUGACAAGAGGCCGGCUGAAAUGUGGAUUUGGCACUUGUGUCGAUCCCUUGCUCCUGGUGGGCUUUCUCGCAGGACGCCUUCCAUCCUCCUCAGCGGCCAGUAGCAGGAUUGUUGGCUUUGGAUUCCAAAGCCUAUUGGAGAAGUGGAAGUUUGGAGGCUUCAAAUUUGAUGGUUGCUGUCCUUUGUCCAAGUUUCAGAAUCUGCGUUGCCAUCUUGUUGCCGUAAGCUUCGCAUGGAAAAACUCAGGCCAUGUAGAGCUAAUUUUGUGGUGCAAAGUUGGAGCAAUUGUGGUGGUUUGGAGGAGUUUGGAGGUGGUGGUGGUGCUUAUCCGGUGACUGUGACGCUGCUCGAGGUUCGGGUUCACACGCUUCAAGGGUACAAAAUGGAGAGAGUAUCAUUGCUAUCUCCGGAGAUUGAGAGUAAGC